rnacentral:rRNA from 1 species
AUUGAACGCUGGCGGCAGGCCUAACACAUGCAAGUCGAGCGGAUGACGGGAGCUUGCUCCUUGAUUCAGCGGCGGACGGGUGAGUAAUGCCUAGGAAUCUGCCUGGUAGUGGGGGACAACGUUUCGAAAGGAGCGCUAAUACCGCAUACGUCCUACGGGAGAAAGCAGGGGACCUUCGGGCCUUGCGCUAUCAGAUGAGCCUAGGUCGGAUUAGCUAGUUGGUGGGGUAAUGGCUCACCAAGGCGACGAUCCGUAACUGGUCUGAGAGGAUGAUCAGUCACACUGGAACUGAGACACGGUCCAGACUCCUACGGGAGGCAGCAGUGGGGAAUAUUGGACAAUGGGCGAAAGCCUGAUCCAGCCAUGCCGCGUGUGUGAAGAAGGUCUUCGGAUUGUAAAGCACUUUAAGUUGGGAGGAAGGGCAGUAAGUUAAUACUUUGCUGUUUUGACGUUACCGACAGAAUAAGCACCGGCUAACUCUGUGCCAGCAGCCGCCGCAGUAA